GAGUUGGAGGCGGUGGAAACAAUGUUUUUCUUUUAUAUAUAUACUUAUGCCAAGAGGUGGUUGGGUCGGUGAAAGAAAGAAAAAAAACAGAGGAAAAAAGGGAGUCUCAACGAGAGGGAGCUGUAGAUCGGAAAAAAAAGAAGAAGCUGAAGGAGAAGAACUAAAACAUUUUGUGUGAGCGAAAGGAAGAAGAAAAAGGGGAUGACAACAGAAAUUCCAAAAUUUUGAGAAGUUCUUGCUAUUUGUUGUAGGAGAGGGUUAAGAGUGAGGAAAUUCAGUAGGAAAUGAGGCACGAUAGGAGUUGGAAAUUUUGACAGCAGCUUGAAUUUGGGGAAAUUGACGAUGAUAGUAGCUGGAUUUUUGUAUUUUGAAGAAAAUUGGUUGAUGCUUUUAAGCGGAAUAAACUCGAGAUUCGUCUUGGUAAGUUGGAAGAAAUGGGCAUGGUUUGGCUGCAAAUAAGAUCAAAAUUGCUCAAAGGAAUUGGGAAAACAGUGUAGAGAUUUAUUUGAUGUUUUUUUUUUAACAAGGGACAUAUAAUUACUGUUUUUGGGCUAAUAUGGGGUUGAGAUUUACCAAUUCAUUGAGAGAAUUUGUUGAUUCAACAUGUGGACAUUGUUACGCUAAAAAAUAACUCAAGGUAGCAACAAAAGCAUGAAAACAAUAUUGAAAUAUCUUGGUGUCACAAGUCUGCAUUACGAUUAAAAUUCUGCUAUCAAAUUUUACUGUUGUUUUUGCUUUAUAGCUGUCGAUUUCCCAAUUUCUCACUUGGUAAAUCUUGUUACAACCUUGUAUUUCACAAAUCCUUUUCACUCUUAAUGUCUUGGGAUAGUUUCUUGUUGGGAUUGGAUUUCAAUUGUCUUAAAGUGGGGGAUAAGAAGAAGUUAAGUUUGUUAAGGCAACCCAUUAAGUGAAAAUUUCUUUUCCAUUGUAAAGGCUCAAAGCCCAAAUAAAAAAGGGCUUUCUUUCAUGUAUUUUUUGAUUGAAUAUUCUUCUUCUAGAAAUCCUAUAUUCCCGUUGCCAUAGUUUAAUAUUCCAGUAUGUAUGAGUGAAUUUUUUUUCUUUUUUGCAAGAGUUUUUCAUUACUGCUUCCCUUACAGGGAUGUUGAUCUCUCAUACUAAAUAAUAAAUUUAAGGUUUUCUCUUGCA